rnacentral:rRNA from 1 species
CAGCACCUCAAGUGGUCAGGAUGAUUAUUGGGCUUAAAGCAUCCGUAGCCGGCGCUGUAAGUUUUCGGUUAAAUCUGUACGCUCAACGUACAGGCUGCCGGGAAUACUGCAGCGCUAGGGAGUGGGAGAGGUAGACGGUACUCGGUAGGAAGGGGUAAAAUCCUUUGAUCUAUUGAUGACCACCUGUGGCGAAGGCGGUCUACCAGAACACGUCCGACGGUGAGGGAUGAAAGCUGGGGGAGCAAACCGGAUUAGAUACCCGUGUAGUCC